GGCUCAGGAUGAACGCUGGCGGCGUGCCUAAUACAUGCAAGUCGAGCGGCAGCACGGUCUUCGGGACUGGUGGCGAGCGGCGGACGGCAGAGUAACGCGUAGGAAUAUACCCCAAAGUGAGGGAUAAGCUCCAGAAAUGGAGUCUAAUACCGCAUAUGGUCUUCGGAUUAAAGCCUUCGGGCGCUAUGGGAAUAGCCUGCGUUGGAUUAGCUAGUUGGUGGGGUAAUGGCCUACCAAGGCGACGAUCCAUAGCUGGUCUGAGAGGAUGAUCAGCCACACUGGGACUGAGACACGGCCCAGACUCCUACGGGAGGCAGCAGUGGGGAAUAUUGGACAAUGGGCGCAAGCCUGAUCCAGCCAUGCCGCGUGAGUGAUGAAGGCCCUCGGGUUGUAAACUGCUUUUGUACGGAACGAAAAGGUCUUUCCUAAUACGAGGGGCUCAUGACGGUACCGUAAGAAUAAGCACCGGCUAACUACGUG
rnacentral:rRNA from 1 species